AACAGCGAAAGAAGUCGAAAACAUUAGUGACAGUCACUGGAAACACGUGUGUAGUGGUGUGAGAUUGAGAAACGGAGAACACUGCAGAGACUGAACACACUGCUGCAUCACAGAAAAACCGACAUGAAGGUCAAGUCAGAAGGCGCCAGUGCCCGCUUCUGGCAGCACCUCGUCCCGCUCAAUUAUUACGAAUAAUCGCUGAAUAUAUGUCAGUGAUUAUCGAAUAGUAUUUUGGCUUGAAAUGCCCUUCCCUAGUUUUACGUAAGCAGAUUUAAGGUGUACGACCUUACCUGAAUCAACCACUGUUAGGUUUGUAGUUUUGGACACGGGCAAGAGUGAAGACCAAUCACCGCCAGGAUCCUGUAGCCACUCCACCACCUCACAUGAGUAUGAGCCGCUGUCCGAGAUCCAAGCUUGCCGAAUACUCAGCUCAAAACUCGGGCCUUUAGUGCGCUUCACGCUGAUCCUCUGUCUCUGGCUCAGCUCUAUCUCGGGUCCAAACGUGACUUUGGCAUCCUGGUCUGAGCUCACGAUGACCUUACUUACUGCUUCUUGUUCAAGCUGCCACGUGACGGCGUAGCGAGAUGAUUCCGAAGGUUCUGAGAUGACAGAGCAUUUUAAUUCUACGUCAUCGUCAAUGUGAGCUUUAAUGGGUGGGGCUGAGGUCAGAACGAGUUUGCUCUCUUGGAGAAGAAGAGAAAGCGGAGAAAAGUUAGUCACGUGAUGAGACACAACACAAACUCCCCUCACAAAUAAGAGCAGUACCUGGGUCUUGCACUUGCACAGCCAACCAGUUUGAUGAAGACUUCUUGUUUAUGUUCUGGUAGCGGUGCUGGUCUCCAGACCAGCUGAUUGUACCAUCUGCGUACACCGUCAGGAUGUUAUCUAUGGUGGAAGCAUCACGCUGCAGGGUCCAAGUCACUGUGAUUGGUACUUGUACGGCUCUGACCCUGCAGAUCAACUCAACAUUAUUUCCCACGGUCACCCUGCUUUCUCGGCUUAUAAGGUUCACAUUCACAGAUAACUCUGCAACAUAAAGAAAAAAAAAAGAGGAAGCUGGUUGUUAAAGCAACAUCCAAGUGAAAAAAGGGAUGUGAGUAAACAGCAUUUCCGAAGUGCUCUUUAUCCUCUCUCAGUUUCCCUCAUGCUAAUGUAUAUAAACAUUAUUUCUCAGUAACAUUUCCUUCUUUUAAACAUGCAAAGGUUAGUUUGCCAAAAAAUUAUCAAAAUAUUCUUAAUAUGCGUAGAUAUAUCGAAACCAGUAUUGAUUGUUGAAAUUUUAGCUUCUUAAAGUCUGUCAUUUCCUGAGUAUGUUAAAUACUUGGUUCUGAUUGGUCAAACACCAUAACAACUGUAAUUAACCUUCAUCAACAGAGUCAACCCUACAUGUCAAAUCACAUCAGGCUAAGAAAAAAAGUUCUGGCACAUUUGUACAGUUUAUGAUUUCACCUCUUCCUGUUGAAACUGUGGCAAAAAAGUUAGCUUCAAAUAGCAUAAGCAAUCAACAUUAAAGCAGGCUAACGUUCUGACUGUGAAUGAAAAUAAUCAGUUUAAUGCCAUGUAAGCACCAUCAGCUGUUUAAUCUAACAUAAUUUUCACUGAACUGUAUGGAAAUAUAAUUUUUACAUUAAUACAAAUAUUUUAAAAUCAA